rnacentral:rRNA from 1 species
UACGGAGGGAGCUAGCGUUGUUCGGAUAUACUGGGCGUAAAGCGCACGUAGGCGGCGUCGUAAGUCAGGGGUGAAAUCCCGGAGCUCAACUCUGGAACUGCCCUUGAAACUGCAAUGCUAGAAUCUUGGAGAGGCGAGUGGAAUUCCGAGUGUAGAGGUGAAAUUCGUAGAUAUUCGGAAGAACACCAGUGGCGAAGGCGACUCGCUGGACAAGUAUUGACGCUGAGGUGCGAAAGCGUGGGGAGCAAACAGG